rnacentral:rRNA from 1 species
CAGUAGCCGCGGUAACACGGAGGGUGCAAGCGUUAAUCGGAAUUACUGGGCGUAAAGCGCACGCAGGCGGUCUGACAAGUCAGAUGUGAAAUCCCCGGGCUUAACCUGGGAACUGCAUUUGAAACUGUCAGGCUGGAGUCUUGUAGAGGGGGGUGGAAUUCCAGGUGUAGCGGUGAAAUGCGUAGAGAUCUGGAGGAAUACCGGUGGCGAAGGCGGCCCCCUGGACAAAGACUGACGCUCAGGUGCGAAAGCGUGGGGAGCAAACAGGAUUAGAUACCCGGGUAGUCCCUGUCUCUUAUAC